UACAGACAAUUUAAAAUUUAAAUUUUUUUAGUUUUUUUUGCUAUGAAUAUCAUUUAAGUUUUAUCUGUUGGGCCAAAAAGUAUAAAUAUUUAAUACAAGGCUCCUGAUAUAUUGUUACAAUAGCAGUUGAAAAAUAUUAAAAAUACAUAGGCACAAUUAUUUUUCAUAAUCAUUUACAGAUCAAAUUUUGACAAAAUUUAUCAAAUUUAAAAUUGAAUAAUUAUUUUGUAGUUAAAAUGUAUAAAAUGUUCAACUUUUAUAUCUAAACACAUUUCAAUAAAUACAACUCAGACCGGUCACUUCCAAUGAAAUAAAAUAAGUAGUGAAAUAUCUUCUUGGAGACCAGAGCUCGAAAAUUUUUUUAUAACUAUUGGCGGAAAUGCAGUCAAAGAUAACAUAAAGAGAGUUCUUGCCAACAUUUUGAGUAUUGAGUUUGCCAUACGUUGUUCAUGGACAGGAAGAGGAAAAGAUAUUUCUACAAAAUUAUGUGACACUAAAAUUGUAGUAGUAUUAAAAGGGUGUAUAAGGAAUGGUCAAAAGGAUUAUAGUGAUGCUCUAUUUGAGUCAAUUUUGGCUGAUUGGUUCCGUUAUGCUACAACAAGACACAAAAGAUCAUUAGAAUAAUAUUUCUAUCUUUUUAAUAAUAAUUUAUAUUUUAUGUACCGUGUAAGAAGAUUUUACAUGAAAAUAAAAUAUUUUAUAAAAGUAUUAGGACUUAAUAGUUUAUAUUAAUUACUCAAUCUAAAAAUAUUAUUAUGUUGGUAUUUAUAAAUACCAAAUGUUUGAUUUAGAGAAUGAUUUUUUUGGGGGGCCCAUUUUAUUAAGUACUUAUUUAAUAUUUCUAGAAAAAGAGAAGAAAAGAGCUUUGUCAGAUGACAGGUCGUCACUUGAGAAGAAUUAUACAAGCUGAGCAAGAUAGAUGCACAGCCAAUUUAGGAACUUCUUUGCAACAACCUUCAACUUCCACAAUGAAUAAAAUGUCAGAAGCUACAACUUCUCCUGUGCAAAAUGAAAUUCCAAGUAAAACAUUGGUCCCAAGUUUAUUAACUUGUACUUAUAAUACAAAUAAUAGCGGAGAAUCUUUGUGUUUGAUUGAUAGUACUUUAAUAACUGAGACUGUGAAUAAUAUUGAUAGUACUACUAUUUUAAACGAUAAAAUUGGUAUAUGUGAUAAAUUAAGAACUUGGAAUGUAGAGUUUAAUGGAUCUCAUAAUUGUUUAAACAAAUUAUUAACUAUUUUAAAAAGUGAGGGUCUGGGUGUUCCUUAAGAUGGUAGAACAUUGAUGAAUACGCCUAAAAAGCAUAAUAUUGUGUCUAUGGAACCUGGUGCCUACGUACACUUUGAUAUUAAAAAAAUGAUUAGUUCUCUAUUACAUAGACAUGAAUAUGAUUUAUCUGGCAUUACUGAUAUAAAAUUAGGUGUAAAUGUGGAUGGCUUACCUAUAUCAAAGAGUUCUAAAAGCCAAUUUUAAUUAGUAUUUGUAAUGUACUAGUAUUAUCGAAAUAUGUUAUACCAGUAGGUAAAAACCUGAUUCUUCUAAUGAUUUUUUAAGUGAUAUUUUAAAUAUUAUACAAUUAGGAAUUGAAAUAAAUGAUAUGUUAUUUAAUGUUACAAUAGGACAUAUUGUGUGUGAUGCGCCUGCCAAAUCAUACUUGCUGAUUGUUAAAGGCUUUAACGCAUACUUUGGAUGUAAUACAUGCACUGAUGAAGGUACAUAUUAUAUUGAUGGUAUAAUGGCUUUUUUGUCCAUGGAUUCCUCUCGUAAGGACAAAUGAAAGUUUUAGGAAUAAAACAAAUGAGUAUUACCAUAAAGGACCUAGUAUUCUUGAAAUAUUACCAACUAAUAUAACAGAAGACGUGCCACUUGAUAAUAUGCAUUGUACUUAUAUUGGGGUCACGAAAAAACUUAUUGAAUUCUGGGUGAAAGGAAAAAAAGAUGUACGAUUAUUGGAUGCAACAAAAAAUAAUAUAAAUGACAAUAUUUUAAAUUUAAAAGCUUAUGUACCAUCUGAGUUUUUUAGACUCCCUAGGCUACUUGACGAUUUUUAUUUUUGGAAGGCUACAGAAUUGAGAUGUUGUUUUUGUUGUACUAUGGGCAUAUUGUUUUAAAAGGAAAGGUAAAAAAAACUUUUAUGUACAUUUUUUGCAUUUGGUUACUGCAAUAAGAAUUCUUGUUACACCUGAAACAUGUAUUUCUUUAAAUGCAACCGCUAAAAUAUUACUUCCGUAAAAGAUUAUGCUACUCUAUACGGUCAAAAGUUUUUUAAUUACAAUGUUCAUCUUAAUACAUCUACCAUUUUUUGUUUUAAAACAUGGUCCACUUGAAUCUUUUAGUUGUUUUAAAUAUGAAAACUACUUGCAAGACAUAAAAAAAUUCAUGAAAUGUUCAAGGUUUCCUCUGCAAGAAGUUUCUAGUAGAAUUUAUGAAAAAUUGGACAAAAUUAAAAAUAUUUCACAAUCAAAAUAUCCUAAAUUGUCUAAAGAAUUACCUAAAACUCCUUAUUUAUCAAGUAACAAAGUGUAUGAAAAAGUAGUUUUGGAAAAUUUUUCAACUUUAAACAUAAAUUCCAUAAAUAAUAAUUUCAUCAUGUUAAAAAAUAAUGAUUUGGUUUUUGUUGAACAAAUUCUAUUGACUUCCAACAAUGAAAUCAAAUUUCUUGUCAGAAAAUGUAAUAGUUUUUCAUCUUUUUUUAAUCUACCUAAUUUUUCUUCCAAUGAUAUUGGCUCAUAUAGCAUAGAUCUUCAAUUUAUAAGUACACCUUACCCUAUCCAAGUAAGUGUUCUUAUAUUCAAAUAUCAAUGAAGAAAGCAAUAGUUAUCACUAUGUCAUGAUUUAGAUAUACCACAGUAGUUUUUUUUAAAAUAAUUAUUAUAAUAUUGUGUUGUAUGAUUUUUGGUAAACUCGAGAUGAAUUAAUAUUAAUUUAUUAGGUAAUUUUAUUUAAUGAAAUUAUCAAUUAUUUUUUUUGUGUCAAUUAAAAUUUACGAAUGUUAAUAUCUAACGAAUAUAAUGUACAUACCUUAUCUAUUUGGAGUAAAUAUAUUUAUGUAUAAUGUAUUGUCAUUGAUUAAAUAUACAAUUGUACCUAACUAUAUAUUAA